rnacentral:misc_RNA from 1 species
UUGCUUCACUUAGAGUAAGAAUAUAAGCAAAAGCUCAAUUAGUAAAAAAAAAUUCCGAGAUUGAACCAAGCGUUGGACAAGUUAAUGUGGAAGGUACAUAGAUGAUUCAUUCUCUUUUGGGCCAAUUAUUUUUCCUAAUAAAGUUUAUGGUAAAUCAUAUCAUUAAUUUAAGAAUUCAGUAUGAAAUGUAGAGUAAGAGAUGGGCAUUGCCCACUGCAUCAUGAAAUUCUCUGGAGGCCUUGCAUCAAGGCAUCUGUUUGUUCAGGCUUCCCAACCGAUACCCGAACAUAACCCUUCAGUUCUUUGUUAUUGUAGUGUCGGAUCAUCACGCCCAUACUUGCAAGAUCAUCCUUAAGUUUCUUAGCAUCUCUUCCAGAUUUAACCUCGCAAAGAAUGAAAUUAGAAUAGCUUGGAAAUGGAUUGAGAAAUGGGACUUCCAACAGAAGCUUGUAAAGCCUAUCCCGCUCUUGCAACAAUGCAUCUUUCACUUUCUCAAGGUAAGUAGGAUUCUGCAAUGCUGCACAUGCAGAAAC